UGAACGCUAGCGGCAGGCCUAACACAUGCAAGUCGAGGGGCAGCGGGGAAAAGCUUGCUUUUCCGCCGGCGACCGGCGCACGGGUGCGCACCGCGUAUGGAACCUGCCUUGUACAGGGGAAUAGCCCAGGGAAACUUGGAUUAAUGCCCCGUAGUACCGUAUUUCGGCAUCGUUAUACGGUUAAAGCCUUCGGGCGGUACAAGAUGGCCAUGCGUCCCAUUAGCUGGAUGGUAAGGUAACGGCUUACCAUGGCUACGAUGGGUAGGGGCCCUGAGAGGGGGAUCCCCCACACUGGUACUGAGACACGGACCAGACUCCUACGGGAGGCAGCAGUGAGGAAUAUUGGACAAUGGAGGAGACUCUGAUCCAGCCAUGCCGCGUGCAGGAAGAAUGCCCUAUGGGUAGUAAACUGCUUUUAUACGGGAAGAAAAAGAGCUACGUGUAGCUUACUGACGGUACCGUAAGAAUAAGGACCGGCUAACUCCGUGCCAGCAGCCGCGGUAAUACGGAGGGUCCGAGCGUUAUCCGGAAUUAUUGGGUUUAAAGGGUCCGUAGGCGGGCCGAUAAGUCAGGGGUGAAAGUCUGCCGCUCAACGGUAGAACUGCCUUUGAUACUGUCGGUCUUGAGUUAUAGUGAAGUUGCCGGAAUAUGUAGUGUAGCGGUGAAAUGCAUAGAUAUUACAUAGAACACCGAUUGCGAAGGCAGGUGACUAACUAUAUACUGACGCUGUUGGACGAAAGCGUGGGGAGCGAACAGGAUUAGAUACCCUGGUAGUCCACGCCGUAAACGAUGGAUACUAGCUGUCCGGAACCUUGAGUUCUGGGCGGCCAAGCGAAAGUGAUAA
rnacentral:rRNA from 1 species